CGAGCUUAAUAAUGAUCUUGGAGGGUACUAUGGUGUUGAAGGGUGAGCUAUAGUCAAUGAACAGCAUUCUUACAUAGGUAUUCCUCUUCUCCAAAUGGGAUAGGGUAGUGUGCAGUGUUAUGGCAAAUUGCAUCGUCUGUGGACCUAUUGGGGAGGUAAGCAAAUUGAUGUGGGUCUAGGGUGACAGGUAAGGUAGAAGUGAUAUGAUCCUUGACUAGUCUCUCAAAGCACUUCAUGAUGACAGAAGUGAGUGCUAUGGGGCGAUAGUCAUUUAGUUCAGUUACCUUUGCCUUCUUGGGUACAGGAACAAUGGUGGCCAUCUUGAAACAUGUGGGGACAAUAGACUGGGAUAGGGAGAGAUUGAAUAUGUCCGAAAAACACUCCAGCCAACUGGUCUGCGCAUUCUCUGAGGAUACGGCUAGGGCAGCCUUGCAAGGUAUAAAAUGCUUAUAUGUCUUACUUACAUCGGCCACGGAGAACGAGAGCCCACGGUCCUUGGGAGCAGGCCGCUUUGGUGGCACCGUGUUAUCUCAAAAGCGGGCGAAGAAGGUGUUUAGCUUGUCUGGGAGCAAGAUGUCGUUGUCCGCGACGUGGCUGGUUUUCCCUUUGUAAUCCAUGAUUGUCUGUAGACCCUGCCACAUACGUCUUGUGUCUGUGCCGUUGAAUUGCAACUCCACAUUGUCUCUGUACUGCCGUUUUGCCUGUUUGAUUGUAUUACAGAAGGAAUAACUGCACUGUUUGUAUUCAACCAUAUUCCCAGUCAUCUUGCCCUGGUUAACUGCGGUGGUUCGCUCUUUCAGUUUUGCACGAAUGCUGCCAUCUGUCCAUGGUUUCUGGUUUGGAUAUUACAAUGAGCUCAUCCUCGUAUAGCUCCUCCCAACCAGCCUCCUCUGGUGUCAGCGUAUAUUGAAACCUCCAAAACACGAUAUGUGCAGCGGAGACAGAGAGAGUGAAAGAGGGGAGAGAGAGGGAUAGCACAAGCACAGUGGAUAAAUAAGUAAAGGGAAAAGAGAUAUACAAAGAGAGGAGAAACGAGCCAAGAGGAGAGAGAUACAGAGAAAGAACGCAAGGAGACAAAGAAUAGAAAAAAUAAAGAGAGAGAAAAAAGAAGGGUGAGGAGGUGGUGAGAGAAUGAGAAGGAGCGCUAUCGAUCUUCCUCUCUGUUAUCUGUCAUACUAAAAGCAGCAGCC
rnacentral:lncRNA from 1 species